CGCUUAGGUCUUGGCGUUUUUCGAGUGGGUCCUUGAGUAUCCGAUGCCAUCCAUGGUGUUUAUGGUGUGAUGUCAGAAAGGAAGGACACUUACGGACUGUAGGAAGAGAAAACAAAAGACUCCAGAUUACAGAGAGUACCAGUGACGGGGCUGUAGUACUGGGGCAAGCGGACGGGGCCGCGGUUGUUCCUGGUUGCCUAGACGGGAAGGAUUGACUUUGAGGAAGCACAGGUGGAUCUGCACUCGCCCCAACCCCACGGGUUCUUUCUAGGAUCUCAUCGCUGUUAGUCGAUGAAAGACUGUGGUACUAAAAGCUCUGUUGUGUAUGAACCAGGAACCAAGAGGUUCAUGAGUUUUUAAAGCUUUGGAUACGAGUGAACCUUAGGGCUUCAUUUUGAAGACGAGUCAGAAAUCAUAGGUUGCAGGAGAAAUUCAGUUCUCAGAAGUUUGAAGGCAGCAACGUUCCCAGAAAUCCUGGG